rnacentral:rRNA from 1 species
CCUACGGGAGGCUGCAGUGAGGAAUAUUGGUCAAUGGGCGCGAGCCUGAACCAGCCAAGCCGCGUGAGGGAAGACGGUCCUAUGGAUUGUAAACCUCUUUUGUCGGGGAGCAAAAGACGCCACGCGUGGCGUUCCGAGCGUACCCGAAGAAAAAGCAUCGGCUAACUCCGUGCCAGCAGCCGCGGUAAUACGGAGGAUGCGAGCGUUAGCCGGAUUUAGUGGGUUUAAAGGGUGCGCAGGCGGAAGAUUAAGUCAGCGGUAAAAUUGAGAGGCUCAACCUCUGCGCGCCGUUGAAACUGGCUUUCUUGAGUGAGUGAGAAGUAGGCGGAAUGCGUGGUGUAGCGGUGAAAUGCAUAGAUAUCACGCAGAACUCCGAUUGCGAAGGCAGCAUACCGGCGCUCAACUGACGCUCAUGCACGAAAGUGUGGGUAUCGAACAGGAUUAGAUACCCCUGUAGUC